rnacentral:rRNA from 1 species
UACGUAGGGGGCAAGCGUUGUCCGGAUUUAUUGGGCGUAAAGAGCGUGUAGGCGGUCAGGUAGGUCCGUUGUGAAAACUUGAGGCUCAACCGUGAGACGCCGAUGGAAACCAUCUGACUAGAGUCCGGAAGAGGAGAGUGGAAUUCCUGGUGUAGCGGUGAAAUGCGCAGAUAUCAGGAAGAACACCCGUGGCUAAGGCGGCUCUCUAGUACGGUACUGACGCUGAGACGCGAAAGCGUGGGGAGCGAACAGG